rnacentral:rRNA from 1 species
CCAUGUUGAGACACCAGUUCUCGUCCGAUCACUGAAGUUAAGCAACUUCGGGCGCGAUUAGUACUUAGAUGGGUGACCGCUUGGGAACGUCGCGU